rnacentral:tmRNA from 1 species
GGGGAUGAAAGUUUCGAUGGAUUGCUCUUUAAAAACAAGGCAAGCUGAGUAUUCUCAAAUCUCAUAAAACUUUGAGAAAAACAUAAUUGCUAACUUAUUUAGAAAGCAACCGGCAUUAGCAUACGCUUAAUGCUCAUCCUUCCUGUCAACUCCUGAUAGGCAGAUAAGGGUGUUAUAUCAUCAGGAUAGAUAAUUUUUAUAUCCUUAUAAAAAUUAUUGAGAUUAUUAAGGAUAAGAUAUUAAAGUUUUGUUUAUCUUUUAUUUAAUAUCUGACACUAAAGGUAAACUAAGCUUGUAGAACUGUUUUUAAUAGCUUUUCAGACGAGGAUUCAACUCCUCCAUCUCCACAC